AGCGAACGCUGGCGGCAGGCUUAACACAUGCAAGUCGAGCGGGCACUUCGGUGUCAGCGGCAGACGGGUGAGUAACACGUGGGAACGUACCCUUCGGUUCGGAAUAACGCUGGGAAACUAGCGCUAAUACCGGAUACGCCCUUUUGGGGAAAGGUUUACUGCCGAAGGAUCGGCCCGCGUCUGAUUAGCUAGUUGGUGGGGUAAUGGCCUACCAAGGCGACGAUCAGUAGCUGGUCUGAGAGGAUGAUCAGCCACACUGGGACUGAGACACGGCCCAGACUCCUACAGGAGGCAGCAGUGGGGAAUAUUGGACAAUGGGCGCAAGCCUGAUCCAGCCAUGCCGCGUGAGUGAUGAAGGCCUUAGGGUUGUAAAGCUCUUUUGUCCGGGACGAUAAUGACGGUACCGGAAGAAUAAGCCCCGGCUAACUUCGUG
rnacentral:rRNA from 1 species